rnacentral:rRNA from 1 species
UGGGGAAUAUUGCGCAAUGGGCGAAAGCCUGAUCCAGCCAUGCCGCGUGAGUGACGAAGGCCUUAGGGUUGUAAAACUCUUUCGUCGGGGACGAUAAUGACGGUACCCGAAGAAGAAGCUCCGGCUAACUUCGUGCCAGCAGCCGCGGUAAUACGAAGGGAGCUAGCGUUGUUCGGAAUCACUGGGCGUAAAGCGCACGUAGGCGGAUAGUUAAGUCAGGGGUGAAAUCCUGGGGCUCAACCCCAGAACUGCCUUUGAUACUGGCUGUCUCGAGGUCGAGAGAGGUUGGUGGAAUUCCUAGUGUAGAGGUGAAAUUCGUAGAUAUUAGGAAGAACACCAGUGGCGAAGGCGGCCAACUGGCUCGAUACUGACGCUGAGGUGCGAAAGCGUGGGGAGCAAACAGGAUUAGAUACCCCAGUAGUCCCUGAGCGGGCUGGCAAGGCG